rnacentral:siRNA from 1 species
UCAAAUGAUCCACUUACAUGAU